CCUACGGGUGGCUGCAGUGAGGAAUAUUGGUCAAUGGGCGCGAGCCUGAACCAGCCAAGUAGCGUGAAGGAUGACUGCCCUACGGGUUGUAAACUUCUUUUAUAAAGGAAUAAAGUGAGGCACGGGUGCCUUUUUGUAUGUACUUUAUGAAUAAGGAUCGGCUAACUCCGUGCCAGCAGCCGCGGUAAUACGGAGGAUCCGAGCGUUAUCCGGAUUUAUGGGGUUUAAAGGGAGCGUAGAUGGGUUGUUAAGUCAGUUGUGAAAGUUUGCGGCUCAACCGUAAAAUUGCCAUUGAUACUGGCAGUCUUUCGUACAGUUGCGGUAGGCCGAAUUCGUUGUGUCGCGG
rnacentral:rRNA from 1 species